rnacentral:lncRNA from 1 species
GGUCACUGCCUAUAUAGAUAAAGACAUAAAGAUACGAACACGUAGACAUUCAGCUCAUGUGUAUUCAUUAGGGACUGAGGGCAUUUGGCAUCUUCCUUGUCCAACAAGUAACUCUUUCCUUGUCCUUUGUCCAAAGGUUCCUUUGUCCAGUUGCACAAGUUGAUCAGUCCACAGGAUAAUACGACCAAGAAAUAUAUUGUUUUAUUAUUAUUUUUGGUUGAGGUAAUUGCCUCACGGCCAUGGAACGUGAUACUGAGCCAGGCCUGAGGAUGCUGCAGCAAGUGGCUGGAGGAGAGCUGCUAUCACAGGAGGUGAGUGAGGUGUGACUGGCGUAGGAAAUUCGGUUGUCAGCCUGGCAAGGAAGGCAGACAGAGUUUGUCAUUGCCAGGAAGACAAACGGGGUUGGGCUGGAAUCACCAGGAGGACAGAUCGACCUGUGCAAGUCAAGUGGGCUUGUCUGUGCCCUCGGUGAUGGUGGCUGGAAGAAAGUCAACUAGGAGAGCUGCUAUUGCCCGCCUGCUAUUACGGUGGGUGAGGAAAGUCUCGGUGAGCCUGUGACCUGGGCAGGGCUGAGGAAGGAAUGCAGUGAUGCAGAAUUGGAUUAGUUAAUUGAAUGGUACUCUUAUGUGCUUGAAAGAAAAACACCGCCUCGAUAACUGAAGGUAACACCACUCAACAUUAUUUUAGAAGGGUUUUUUUUAUGAAAUCACGUGCUCCUAGAAGGGAAAUAUCUGAGUAAGGGUUCGGGGAAACA